AGCAUAUCAAUAAGCGGAGGAAAAGAAACUAACAAGGAUUCCCCUAGUAACGGCGAGUGAAGCGGGAAGAGCUCAAAUUUGUAAUCUGGCACUUUCAGUGUCCGAGUUGUAAUCUCGAGAAGUAUUUUCCGCGCCGGACCGCAUACAAGUCUGUUGGAAUACAGCGUCAUAGUGGUGAGAACCCCGUAACUGAUGCGGAUGCCCGGUGCUUUGUGAUAUACUUUCGAAGAGUCGAGUUGUUUGGGAAUGCAGCUCAAAUUGGGUGGUAAAUUCCAUCUAAAGCUAAAUAUUGGAGCAAGACCGAUAGCGAACAAGUACCGUGAGGGAAAGAUGAAAAGCACUUUGGAAAGAGAGUUAACAGUACGUGAAAUUGUUGGAAGGGAAACGCUUGAAGUCAGACUUGCUAUUCGGAGUUCAGCCGCAAGGUGUAUUCUUCGAUUUGCAGGCCAGCAUCAGUUUUUGGGGGUGGAAAAUCGUGGUUUGAAGGUAGCAGUUUCGGCUGUGUUAUAGCUUUCCACUGGAUUCAUCUUCGGGGACUGAGGAACGCAGUACGCUUUUUGCAAGGCUCUCGAGCUUUUCGUACUUAGGAUGCUGGUGGAAUGGCUUUAAACGACCCGU
rnacentral:rRNA from 1 species